AAAAAAAAACAACCUGUCGCCUCCCGCAGUCUAGCACCGCCCGGCGGACCGUCUCCGCUCCCAGUCGCCGGCCUUCCGGCCCCAGCCGCCGGUCCUCCUCCUGCCCACGCCGGUCCUCCUCCCGCCCACGCCGGUUGCCGGCCCGCCGCCCCCUUCGCCGAUCCAGCUCCUGCCGAAUCCGCUCUGCGCCCCCCGUGCCUCACCACACCCCGCCGUCCACCUCCGGCCAGCGUCCGCCGCGCCCGCCCGUCGCAGGCCGCUGCCAUUCUUGCGUCAAGUCACCAGGUACAGUCCAGAUUCCGUCGAGAUGAACUUGCUCUGUUUUUCCCGAAUUAGCUUCUGGUGAAUUAGCUGACCGCGCACAGUUCAGGGAAACAAGACCAAUCCGAUUGUUCCAGCCACUUAUCCGAACUAAUCAGGUUGUAAAUCUUAAUUCAAGAUAGAUAAUUUCUCAUCACACCUGAUACUGUUUUCUUUCUUUGCACAGGAAAUUUCCGGUACUGUUUUCUUUCUUUGCACAGGGAAUCAUUUGCUAUCAGACAAUAAUGGUCUUCGGUUACGUGAUCAGCAUCCUUAUGUCACGCCCAUCUUGGCGACUGUGAUAUGCAAGUCCAACAUUCAUGGAAGCUUUCUUUUCUGAAAGCGUGUUCUGUUUAAUUGUUUUUCUUCAAUGAACUCACAAUUUGGAAUUGUGUAAAUUUGCAUUCCUA
rnacentral:lncRNA from 1 species